AGUCUUCAGGGCGGGGCGCAAUUCCCCACCGGCGGUGAUGCGGCUUUGGCCGAUGAGCCCGCGAGCAGAGUUGCUUACAGCAACGGCAGACCCGGUGUGAUCCCGGGGCCGACGGUAUAGUCCGGAUGAAAGAAGC
rnacentral:ncRNA from 1 species